rnacentral:sRNA from 1 species
GCCCACCUCUUAGGGGAGUAGCCCGCUCAGUAAUGAGUAAACUUAUCAACAUAAUUGCACCUCAUGUGCAUGGUAAGUUUGUAAUGUUGUAGCAAGCAUUAU